rnacentral:rRNA from 1 species
CGCAAGCCUGACGGAGCAACGCCGCGUGAGGGAUGAAGGCCUUUGGGCUGUAAACCUCUUUUCUCAAGGAAGAACACCUGACGGUACUUGAGGAAUAAGCCACGGCUAAUUCCGUGCCAGCAGCCGCGGUAAUACGGGAGUGGCAAGCGUUAUCCGGAAUUAUUGGGCGUAAAGCGUCCGCAGGCGGCCGUUUAAGUCUGUUGUUAAAUCGUGGAGCUCAACUCCAUCACGGCAAUGGAAACUGUUCGGCUUGAGUAUGGUAGGGGCAGAGGGAAUUUCCGGUGUAGCGGUGAAAUGCGUAGAUAUCGGGAAGAACACCAGUGGCAAAAGCGCUCUGCUGGGCCAUUACUGACGCUCAUGGACGAAAGCCAGGGGAGCGAAAGGGAUUAGAUACCCCUGUAGUCCUGGCCGUAAACGAUGAACACUAGAUGUUGGGGGAAUCGACCCCUCCAGUGUCGUAGCUAACGCGUUAAGUGUUCCGCCUGGGGAGUACGCACGCAAGUGUGAAACUCAAAGGAAUUGACGGGGGCCCGCACAAGCGGUGGAGUAUGUGGUUUAAUUCGAUGCAACGCGAAGAACCUUACCAAGGCUUGACAUCCUGCGAAUCUCCAAGAAAUUGGAGAGUGCCUUCGGGAACGCAGUGACAGGUGGUGCAUGGCUGUCGUCAGCUCGUGUCGUGAGAUGUUGGGUUAAGUCCCGCAACGAGCGCAACCCACGUUUUUAGUUGCCAGCAUUCAGUUGGGCACUCUAGAAAGACUGCCGGUGACAAACCGGAGGAAGGUGUGGACGACGUCAAGUCAUCAUGCCCCUUACGCCUUGGGCUACACACGUACUACAAUGCUGCGGACAAAGAGUAGCGAUCUUGCAAAAGUCAGCUAAUCUCGUAAACCGUGGCUCAGUUCAGAUCGUAGGCUGCAACUCGCCUACGUGAAGGAGGAAUCGCUAGUAAUCGCAGGUCAGCAUACUGCGGUGAAUACGUUCCCGGGCCUUGUACACACCGCCCGUCACACUAUGGAAGUUGGCCAUGCCCGAAGUCGUUACUCUAACCUUUUGGAAGAGGGCGCCGAAGGCAGGGCUAAUGACUGGGGUGAAGUCGUAACAAGGUAGCCGUAGCGGAAGCUGCGGCUGGAUCACCUCCUAA